CACGGUCAGCUCGUGGGAAUGCCUUCCCGCAAUGUUCAAGAACCGAAAUUUUCUCUUUGAAAACAUUUAAUAUAUUUUAGGCCUCCGCUGAAAUGCCUUGAACAGCCCAUUUUGAACCAGAAUAAUUUAGUCUGACAACAGAUUCUUCCUCUGUUCACAGCCUUCCCACAAGGAGGAGCUGAAAUCCGAACCUCUCGGCUGUGAUUGGAUGCUUCUAGAAAAAGCCAGGGAGAAAACCCCUCCCAGUCCAGAAGAGCUCAGUCGGGCAGGGAGCCCGGUGACUUCAGAGGCGCCCGCCUGUCCCCCGCCGCACCUGAGCCGCUGCGAAGCUGUAGGACCGCCGCCUGGACCGUAUAACGCCCGCGCCCGCCCGCCCCACCAUGCCGCGCUCCUUCCUGGUCAAGAAACAUUUCAACGCCUCCAAGAAGCCCAACUACAGCGAGCUGGACACACACACAGAUUCAGUAUACAAACAGAAGGGAAAAAUAAUUUCAUAUUGCUUAAAUCUUCAAAGAACAUAUCCUGAUGUAUUAGAGGCACUGUUAUGUCUGAGAGGAGACACAGACCAUGCACAGAAACAAAUG